CCUACGGGUGGCAGCAGUGAGGAAUAUUGGUCAAUGGGCGCGAGCCUGAACCAGCCAAGUAGCGUGAAGGAUGACUGCCCUACGGGUUGUAAACUUCUUUUAUAAAGGAAUAAAGUGAGGCACGUGUGCCUUUUUGUAUGUACUUUAUGAAUAAGGAUCGGCUAACUCCGUGCCAUCAGCCGCGGUAAUACGGAUGAUCCGAGCGUUAUCCGGAUUUAUUGGGUUUAAAGGGGGCGUAGAUGGGUUGUUAAGUCAGCUGUGAAAGUUUGCGGCUCAACCGUAAAAUUGCAAUUGAUACUGGCAGUCUUGAGUACAGUUGCGGUAGCCGGAAUUCGUGGUGUAGCGGUGAAAUGCUUAGAUAUCACGAAGAACUCCGAUUGCGAAGGCAGCUUACUAAACUGCCACUGACAUUGAUGCUCGAAAGUGUGGGUAUCAAACAGGAUUAGAUACCCGUGUAGUC
rnacentral:rRNA from 1 species